rnacentral:rRNA from 1 species
GAUUAGCUAGUUGGUAGGGUAAUAGCCCUACCAAGGCGACGAUCCGUAGCUGGUCUGAGAGGACGAUCAGCCACACUGGGACUGAGACACGGCCCAGACUCCUACGGGAGGCAGCAGUGGGGAAUAUUGGACAAUGGGGGGAACCCUGAUCCAGCAAUGCCGCGUGUGUGAAGAAGGCCUUCGGGUUGUAAAGCACUUUCAGUGGGGAAGAAAUUCUCAAGUCUAAUACCCUUGAGCGUUGACGUUACCCACAGAAGAAGCACUGGCUAACUCUGUGCCAGCAGCCGCGGUAAUACAGAGAGUGCAAGCGUUAAUCGGAAUCACUGGGCGUAAAGCGCGCGUAGGUGGAUAUUUAAGUCGGAUGUGAAAGCCCUAGGCUUAACCUGGGAAUUACAUCCGAUACUAGGUAUCUCGAGUAUGAUAGAGGGAAGUGGAAUUUCCGGUGUAGCGGUGAAAUGCGUAGAUAUCGGAAAGAACAUCAGUGGCGAAGGCGGCUUCCUGGAGCAAUACUGACACUGAGGCGCGAAAGCGUGGGGAGCAAACAGGAUUAGAGACCCUGGUAGUCCACGCUGUCAACGAUGAGAACUAGCUGUUGGAAAGUUUACUUUCUAGUAGCAAAGCUAACGCGUUAAGUUCUCCGCCUGGGGAGUACGGC